ACAUGCAAGUCGCACGAGAACUCCUUAGCUUGCUAAGGAUAGUAAAGUGGCGCACGGGUGAGUAACGCGUGGGUAAUCUACCCUCGAAUUGGGGAUAACCUCACGAAAGUGGGGCUAAUACCGGAUGACAUCUUGAAGGCUUCGGUCUUUUGGAUCAAAGGAUGCCUCUACAUGUAAGCUUCCGUUCGGGGAUGAGCUCGCGUACCAUUAGCUUGUUGGUAGGGUAAAGGCCUACCAAGGCUACGAUGGUUAGCUGGUCUGAGAGGAUGAUCAGCCACACUGGAACUGACACACGGUCCAGACUCCUACGGGAGGCAGCAGUGAGGAAUUUUGCGCAAUGGGGGAAACCCUGACGCAGCAACGCCGCGUGAGUGAUGAAGGCCUUCGGGUCGUAAAGCUCUGUCAAGUGGGAAGAACCUGCAUGCAGUCAACAGCUGCGUGCACUGACGGUACCACUGAAGGAAGCACCGGCUAACUCCGUGCCAGCAGCCGCGGUAAU
rnacentral:rRNA from 1 species